AUUGAACGCUGGCGGCAGGCCUAACACAUGCAAGUCGAACGAGGGGCGGACGGGUGAGUAAUCUCUGGGAAACUGCCCGAGGGAGGGGGAUAACCACUGAAAACGGUAGCUAAUACCGCAUCCCAUCGUGUGUGCCCAGAUGGGAUUAGCUAGUAGGGGGGGUAAGGGCUCACCUAGGCGACGACCCCUAGCUGGUCUGAGAGGAUGACCAGCCACACUGGAACUGAGACACGGGCCAGCCUCCUACGGGAGGCAGCAGUGGGGAAUAGUGCACAAUGGGCGCAAGCCUGAUGCAGCCAUGCCGCGUGUAUGAAGAAGGCCUUCGGGUUGUAAAGUACUUUCGGCAGGGAGGCGUUACUCGCAGAAGAAGCACCGGCUAACUCCGUGCCAGCCGCCGCGGUAAUUC
rnacentral:rRNA from 1 species